AAUAGUAGUAGUAAUAAUAAUGAUGGUUUCAAAUUUUGGCAUAAGGCCAGCAAUUUCAGAGGAAGGGUGUAAGUCAGUUACAGUGACUCCCAGUGUUCAAAUGGUACUUAUUUUAUCAACCCUGAAUGGAUGAAAGGCAAAGUCAAUCUUGGUGGAAUUUGAAUUCAGAACAUAAAGAUGGACGCAACGGUGCUAAGCAUUUUGCCCGGUAUGCUAAUAGUAAUUGUGUGCUAAGGACUAAGUAAAAAAGGUUAAGCCUAUUGAGGUUUGACUGUAGUCAAUUAGAUCGACACCAGUUUGCAAUUGGUACUUAAUUUAU